ensembl:lncRNA
CUGUCUUUAUGAGCGAGUCACUGAAUCGUUCACUCGACCGAUUUGUUCAAAAACAAAGAUUCAUACCGGAAUGAAAUGAAGGGCUGUCUUUAUGAGCGAGUCACUGAAUCGUUCACUCGACCGAUUUGUUUAAAAACAAAGAUUCAUACAGGAAUGAAAUGAAGGGCUGUCUUUAUGAGCGAGUCACUGAAUCAUUAACUCGACCGAUUUGUUUAAAAACAAAGAUUCAUACAGGAAUGAAAUGAAGGGCUGUCUUUAUGAGCGAUCACUGAAUCGUUCACUCGACCGAUUUGUUCAAAAACAAAGAUUCAUACAGGAAUGAAAUGAACGGCUGUCUUUAUGAGCGAUCACUGAAUCGUUCACUCGACCGAUUUGUUCAAAAACAAAGAUUCAUACAGGAAUGAAAUGAACGGCUGUCUUUAUGAGCGAG